rnacentral:lncRNA from 1 species
AGUUGAUCUCUUCGAUCUUUUCUAACAUGGUAUCAAAGUUCUUGCGUGGCUCACCACAUAACUCAUCUUAGUCAUCCAAGCUUAGUAUAUCUUCUCUAGAGGUAACUUCACUUAUUACUCUUUGAUCUUCUCUAACCAUAAACGCAAAAAUAUUACGAAUUAUUAUAACAAUACGAAAAAUAUAAUUUUAAAGCAUAGCAUAGACUUUGCCGGAGAUGGAAGAAUUACAAUAAAAUAUUUUGAUUGUGACGUUAGAUUUUUAUAACAUGGAGGAAAAGAAUGAACAAUCUAAGGGACAAAUUUAAUAUGCCUACCCAAACAGGUGCCAAAAUCUAAUAGGCUUAUCCUAACAGACAAGAAAUUCGAUUGUUUAAGGAAUGUUAGUAGCAUCAUUUUGAAAAGAAAAAAAAAAUGGCCAAGUCCACUUAUAUAUAUAUAUUUUUUAUUUAGGUUCAGUUACGAGCAACUAAUUUAGUUGUUUUAUUUUUAAAAUUUUUAAAUUCACUUCUUCGGGAUAGUUGCUUUAAAAUUUGCGAUCGUAACAAAGAAAAUGUUCAUUUACUUAAAAAAUGGGUGAAUAAAUUAGACUCGAAGGUCCUCGUUGGACUAGACUUCAAUCUUUUCUAAUCCCAAAAGGCAAAAAGGCCCCAAAGUAUUCUUGGAUGCUCAAUAAUACAUACUGAGAAAAAGACUUAAAAUUUAAAAUAUAUGGACAAAAUUUAUUCUGAACGUGACCUAUAUUAUACUAACUUUGAAUUUAUACUAACUUUGAAUUUAUACUAUACACUUACUUUCUGGAUAAAAUUCUAAGUAUCUAGCUAACUUUAAUCUAAUCAAGUUGUUAUGCGUGUUAAUAAAGGUGACAACAAGAUCUUGUGUUUGUUUGUUGUGAAGUUAUUUCCUUGUAGAGCCCCAACAUUUUUAUUAACUUUGAUCUACUUCUCACUUUAGUAUUAUCACUACUUAUAAUCAUAUAAUUUUUUUUAAUACCACAUCAAUAGGAUUACGACAUAUAUGUCCGAGCCACCUAAAUUUAUUUUCUUAAUUUUGGAUAUGCACUCAUUCGAUAUGAGAAUUUCGACCCACACUAAAUUUACAUUUCAUAUAUUCAGUUUUGUUCAUAAUUAUUUUAAAAUCGUUUGACUCUAGUGAUUUUCUUUAGAUUUUUAACUUCGCAUUGACACCGUUUGCGGUCUUGUUAAUCAAUACUAUAUCUUCGGCGAAUAAUAUAUACCAUAUAUAAGUCUAGUAAUCGCAUCCAUAAUUAAUGCAAAAAGAUAAAGGCUCAAGGCAAGUCCAUGGUGUAAUCCUACUGUAAUUGAAAACUCAUUCGUCUCCCCAGUUGGUGAUCAAAUUAUAGUAAUAGUACCAUCAUAUAUAUUUUUAAUUACAUCAAUGUAUCCCCUAAUAACGUAUUUUCUCUAAAAAAUCUAUCAAAUAAUAUCUAUAGGAACCCCAACGAAAGCGUUUUCUAAGUUUAUAAAGACCAUAUAAAGGUCUUUUUUUAUUUCUCUACACUUUUUAACUAGUCUCCUUAAUAAAUAGAUUGCUUCCAUAGUCGAUUUAUUUGGCAUAAAAUCAAAUUACUUCUCCGACACACUUGUUAUCACCAUCAAACGAUACUCAAUAAUUCUUUCCCAUAACUUCAUAGUAUGACUCAUCAACUUGAUCCAUCUAUUAUUGUUACAACUUUAUAUAUCACAUUUGUUCUUGUAUAUGGGUACUAAAUACUUCUCCUCCACUUUUUCGGCAUUUUUCGAGACAUAAAAAUUUUGCUAAAUACGUUAGUUAACCAACGCAAUUCCGCUUUGUCUAAACUUCUCUAAAUCUUAAUUGGGAUGCCAUCCGGCCUUAGGGCCAUACCGUUCUCAUCUUUUUUAAGGCAAAUUCUAUUUUAGCAUUCUGUAUUAUAUGGUAAAACUAUAAUCUAUAGUCACAUUAGUGCCACCAUAUUUGUCUCUUCUUGAGCUCUUCCCUUCAUGUUUCUCACUUGACAACUUCUCAAAAUACAAUAUUCAUCUUCCUUAAUCUCAUCAUCUUUCACUAGUAUCCUGUAGUCCUCACUUUUUAUACACUUGAAUAAAGUCCUUUGUUUUCCUUUCUCUUGUAUUGGCUUACAAUAAUAAAAGAUAGAAUUGACACAAUGCAAAUGUUUGGGGAUUAAAACAACAUGAAAUGCAUGAUUUAGGGACUGUUGACGUAAAACAUAAUAUUUCCAUUUACAAUUUUAACGUUAAUUUGCAAUUGAGCAUGUUUGAUUUAACUUGGAAAUUUUAAGGAUGAAACUGGAAAAGCUCAAACUUAGAGGACCAAAGUGAUACAAAGAGCAUACUUUAAGGGACAUAUUUGUAUUCUAUCAUUAUUUUUGUUGUAUUCUUAUAGCGUGGACCACGGAUCACCGUAUUAAAUACUCCUAUCAAACGUUGUGGACCCAUAACACCAGAAAGUUAUGUACAAAUAAGAAAAUUGCUACUCCCCUCUCCCGUGUCACGUACUCCCC